rnacentral:rRNA from 1 species
CUCGGCAACGGAUAUCUCGGCUCUCGCAUCGAUGAAGAACGUAGCGAAAUGCGAUACUUGGUGUGAAUUGCAGAAUCCCGUGAACCAUCGAGUCUUUGAACGCAAGUUGCGCCCGAAGCCAUUCGGCCGAGGGCACGCCUGCCUGGGUGUCACGC